rnacentral:rRNA from 1 species
UACAGAGGGUGCUAACGUUGUUCGGAAUCGCUGGGCUUAAAGCGCACGUAGGCGGCUAGGCAAGUGCGAUGUGAAAGCCCCCGGCCCAACCGGGGAACUGCAUCGUAGACUGCCUGGCUUGAGAGCGGUAGGGGAGACUAGAACUCCUGGUGGAGCGGUGAAAUGCGUAGAUAUCAGGAGGAAUACCGGUGGCGAAGGCGAGUCUCUGGUCCGCUUCUGACGCUCAUGUGCGAAAGCUAGGGGAGCAAACGGG